AGAUUGAUUUGGUAGAUCAAUCAAUACAGAAUUUGCAAGUCUAUAAAGAUUAAGGUCUCUUUCUCUGUUUCGUGUUCGUGAUAUUAAUAUGAUCGUUGCAUGGACAUUGGAAAGGGAAAGGGCGGUUGAACUUUUAGAUUAUAGAAUGGAUUAUGCUUCUGAGUAAUGCCAAAUUUAGUACUUUUAUGUUUCUUCCAAUUGUAAAUUUCAAGUAAACAUUGAUACAACAUUCUUUACUUUUUG
rnacentral:misc_RNA from 1 species